rnacentral:tRNA from 1 species
GCUGAUGUAGCUCAGCAGGUAGAGCGCAUCCUUGGUAAGGAUGAGGUCACCGGUUCGAAUCCGGUCAUCAGCUCCA